GAAAAUACGCGGGAAUAUUUCUGCUCUGGAGAGUGCUGCUGCUAUAACGUUACGCAUAAGGAUUGAUAUUAGUGUAAUAACGCAGGUCUGUUCCGCAUAAUGGAUAGACAGGUAACCAUUUCCUCCGCGUUCAGCUAUUCGCUUUUUCGAAGACGUGAGCUAAAGAAGAAGAAAAACAAGCCAAAUAAGUCCGUCUAUAUCCUCCUUUUCAAAACGUGAAGAGAAUAUUUCAACAGGUGGGAUAUUUGAGCGUCUUUGGAGGCAUCUGAGGAGAGCAUGGAGACUCCUGUGCUGCAGAGGCCCUGAUGACUCUGAAAUAAAAUUGUCAGUGGAAGAAACAUCACCAUUCAAUAUGCAAAGCUCUGUCCGUCCAUGGUGAAGAUGCUCAAGCCUUUUUCUUUACAAAGAUUAUCAUUCCUCAAUUGAUGGCCAGCCAGACUACAGAAUUCCUGGACUUCCAUUUAAAAGACUGAAAAAGUGGAUCUACAUUCCCUCCAAUGCUCACCCCAAGUGUCUCCAAAGCAGAAGCCGAGUUAUGCAAUCACAUGAUGGGUAAUUAGUGCCCGAGUCAUCACUUCUGCCUGCAUUCUCAGGAGCCCAAAUACAUUCUUUUAGGAUUUGAGUCACUGGCUGCUACUAUGGUCAUCUCUUUUGCCAAAGGUGAUGUAAGAUCAUGAACUCUGCUUGUGUCAGGUAAAAGGUGACUAGAGUGCAAAACAGACCAAAGUUUGUUUCAUGUGAGGUAGCUGUAGAGCACCUGCUAGUCAUAAUUUGAUCAUUUUAUCUGAUUACCUUUGACAAUGAUUACCUUCAUCUUCGAUCAAAAGUGACUUACAAUGAGAAAGCUUCUCUCCACACCACUACCAGUUUGCAGCAUCCACUUGGAUGAUGGCGACAGUGCGCUCAUCACACACCAGCUGUAGGCGGAGUGGAGAGACAGUGAUAGAGGAAAUUCUGGGGAAGGGGACAUUUCUGUAUGGAGUUUGCAAUGUCUCCCCAUGGUUAAGUGAGUUCCUUCGGGUGCUCUGGUUUCCCCCACAGUCCAAAGCUAUGCAGUAUAGGUGAAUUGGAUAAAACUAAAUUGGCAGUAGUGCAUGAGUGAGUGUGAGUGGGAUUAUGGGAGGCUCGUCUCCCAUCACUGGGGAUUAAUGCACUCUUAAUGCUGGGUAGUAGCUGGAAGGCCUUCCACUGCAUUAAUCAAAUGCCAGAAUAAUUGGUGAUUCAUUUUGCUGUGGUGACCCAUAAUAAAUUACGAAAUAAGCCAAGGAAAGUGCUCAUGGCACACAAAAUAAAUCACUUGCAUCUUUUAGAAUUAUAUACAUUCAAUCUGAGUCUUUAGGCACAAGUUAUGAAUCUAGUGGGAAUUUUGUGUAAAUCUCAAUGCAGUUAGCAAUUUAACUAUUGUUAGUAAAUGAGGCUCUAUAAUUUGAUGAUUUUUUUUGUGGUGGUCACAAAACCAAUUUUGUCUGGGUUUUAACAAUGGAUUAAGUUACUUCUACAGCUGCCUGAUCAUGCCUUCUUACUUGUAACUCUUUAAAGAAAGAACAGUUCACCCAGAAAUCGAAAUUGUUGUUUUAUUAUUUGUUCAAAAGAAAGUUCAAAGAAUGUUUCAGGCAAACGUUUAUGCUUACCAUUGAUAUACAAACAACAAAAACAACCAAACAAAAUACCUUGUGUUAAAGUUAAAGAUGCAGUAUGUAAGUUUGACACCCAGUGGUUGAGCUAGGUAUUGCAUUCCUGGAUCAAAACAAAUGCAAACGCAGGUUGCCAGAUUGACGACCAACAGGAGUGACGGUUGAGCCUAAAGGAUGAUUUAAAUUGUGUUCUAUAUAAAAAGCAACAACAUGCGAAAGAAGGAAUAUUUUCCAUAUUUAAACGAGUUUCUCCUCACUAACACCACAAAUUGAUAUAUUAGAAACGGCUUCUAUUUCUUGCAGCUGAAUAACAGAAAACUGACAAUGAUCACCUCAGGUACACCUCGUGCUUUAUUCAGUGUUAAAUGCUAAUAAUGUAAGUUUAAAUGCUAUUUAAGUGAGAUUUAUUGCCAUAAUGCUGAAAGCAGGAGCAGAUAGUUCACCCCAGAUCUUGAAAAUAAAACAAACCGUUUGAACUUGAACUUUGCAUAUUCUGUGCUUCAGACAAAACAGGGCAGAAAUUUCAAUACCAUUCAGGAGGAAACAGCCAAAAUGCUUAUCACUGCAAAUCUUCUCACGUAUCGUGUUGUUAGGAAAUGGGGGUACAAUGUAACCUGCUCACCUAAUGUUUACUUUCAUAUUUAUAUUAUUAUUUGCCAAUUAAUAACUUUGUGGAACACUGAACCUUCACCUCAUUUAGGAGUCUGCUACUGUCCACCGGAGGUCACAUUUCGAUCACAGACGCAUGCUUUGAGAGCCUUUCUGAAUAAAUGCAUGAAACACAUGGUUCUCCAACAAGGCAACCCGUGGUGCUGAAAUAUAAUUGGCUAAAAUGUGGAUGGGAUAAAAGCACCAAAAGAGUUCUGGUAGUUUACAGACAUUUUUAAAGCAGAAUGACUGACUUCAGCACUGUUUUUCAGAUAAACAAGAAUGUUUACUUGACAAGAUUCUCAAAUAUCUGUAAAGUCAAAAACUUGCAUACAGCACCUUAAAGUGACAUUUUUGGGUGAACUGUUUUUCUUAGUGAGAGGGUUGUUAUUUAAAAAGGCAUGACUUUUAUAUUCUCAGUAUUGAAUAUAUUAAUAUAAUAAGUAGAAACGGCAUUAGAUACAUGACAGUUAUUUCAAUUACACCCUUCUUGAUUAAAUUUGGUGAUUUCUAAAACAGAGUUUAAAUAUGCAAAGGUAAAGGUUCAGAUUAAUUUAGGUGAAGCAUUAAAGUAAGAGAAGUGUAUACAGCUGUAUAUGUGCUUUGAUUUGUUAUAGUUAGAGUGACAGUGACCAUGUGUCCCCUUUUUGGGCCAAAAAGAGGACAUCAGGAUUUCUUAAUCUUUUAAAAUGUCCAGCAUUCUGCAUUUGCUUUCUACAGUAGUCAUUAAUUGUAUGAAUUUUUGCAUUUCUGUUACUGUUCUCUUCUUGCCUCGCCUUGUUGCAUGCUACCAUUGGUUGCACAUGUACAUAUGCAAACAUUGGCCAGUGAGUCUUUAUUCAUCAGCCCCAACACAACAGCUGAGAGAGACAGAGAGAAGUAGCUUUUACCUGUCAGUGGGUAACUCUAGUUUUAGCAUGUUAAAUUUCACUGCGUUUACCACUUGACCUUCUGCUGUACUCUCGUUUAUUGUUGUACCGCACUGGGAGCAUUUCGGUUGUUUGUAAAAGUAAAUAGCAAGGCAUAUUUGGUCACCAGCUGAUGCUAUUUAUUUAGUGCAGACAGGUUAUCAUUAGUAGAAGCAUUGAUGAAACAAAUCAGCACUGCUGUAUGUAUUAUAUGCAAAAAACAAGCGUGAAUCAGUAACUAUUGCAGCAGUUAACCUCCACAUCACCACAGGAUAUGGCAUUUGAAAAAGUGUUACCGUAUGAAAGUCAAGUCAAAUCUGUCGGGAAUACCUAUUGAUAUUUGUCUGGGGUGCUGUCUACACUGGAAUGUAGUGAAAAAAGCACAAUCUUUAUGUAUUGUUACUUAGGAUUUGUUUUAACUGGAGGGGUUUGUAUUAACAGAAAAUUGAGUUUUGUUUGAUUCAGCCCCACAUGUAAAAAGUAUAUUAAUGUUGCUGUGAAUAGUGGCUGACUGAAAUCUGACUCAGUUGGUCAUCUGAAGAAAACCACUUUUAAACUGGAGCUAGAUCAGUCAAAAAUGAUACAUUUACAAAAUAAAAUUUAUACAUACACAAUUCACAUUUACAAAAGCCAAUUGGUAAAUUUCAGAAAUGGUUAAAAAAUAUGCAAAUCCAAUUCGUAAGUUUAAAAAUACAAAAUUUAUUUGUAAGUUCAAAAUAGAAUUUAAAAAUAUGAAAAUACAAUUAGGUGGUUUAUAACACGAUUAAAAAAUACGAAAAUCCAAUUCGUAAGUUCAAAACAGUAAAAAAAAAAAAAUCCAAUUCGCAAGUUCAAAACGGUUCAAAAAUACAAAAAUUAUUCAUAAGUUCAGAAUAGAAUUUAAAAAAAAAAUGUAAGGAUACAAUUAGGUAGUUUAUAACACGAUUCAAAAAAUACGAAAAUCCAAUUCGUAAGUUGGAAACAGUUAAAAAAAAAAAGUAUAUAACAAAUCCAAUUUGUAAGUACAAAACAGUUCAAAAAUACAACAGUUUUAUUCUUAAGUUCAAAAUAGAAUUUAAAAAUACGAAAAUACAAUUAGGUGGUUUAUAACACGAUUCAAAAAUACAAAAAUUUGUAAGUUCAAAACAUGAAAAAAAAAUUACAAUCCAAUAUGCAAGUUCAAAACAGUUAAAAAAAAUACGCAAAUCCAAUUUGUAAAGUCAAAACUCAAUUAAAAAAAAUAUGCAAACUCAAUUAAGAAGUUCAAAACAUUAUACAAAAAUACACAAAUCCAAUUUAUUUGGUGAAAAUAUUCAUGAUUUUACAUACAAAUGUACAAACUGUAUUUUGUAAAUGUUAGUUGUGCUGUGUGUAUAUGUUUUUUUUUUGUUAAUAUUAAUAUUGAGACUGAUCUGGCCCCAUAAUAAACAUGGUUUCACCAAAAUGCUUUUCAUAACAGAUUUUCAACUUUUCGGAAGAUCUUGUUGUAGUUUCUAGUUAUCUUGAAGUAGGAUUUGAUCAUUUGACCUGGAUCAGCUAAGAAACCCUAUGCUAAAGGUUUUUUAUUUUAGUCCGGUAAAAUUUCCCAUCCUGUUGUGUCUCAAUCAGCUUCCUUGUUCAGUAGAGAGGGCACUGCUCAGGGAUUCCACUAUUUUGAGUGGUCUGAAUCACAAAAUUCUUCCAGUGCACUAAAAUGUGUGCUCCCACUAUGUACUGUAAAAAGCAGGAAUCAUUAAAGCUCACCUGUCAUGUUUGAUUAAAACAAAAUAAUACAAAUAAAACAUCUGUCUGUAGAUAUCUGUACAAUAAAGUUCAGUUUUAUUGUAAUUUAUAAAUACCAGUAGUGAUGCUGCACUACAUAUUUUCACGUCUCAAUGCAAUUUUGGCCAUGAUUCUUAAUGUGCUUUCCAGUUUACAUAUUCUUGUACAAUUCACAAUGGAUUCAGAGAUAGGGAGCUGAUUGAGAUGCACAAUGAUUUUACUUACAUGGACUAUGUAAGUGCUGUCCAACUGUGCCUUAUUUAGUAAUAUUUAUUUUUGUUUUAUACUAUCGAUGCAGUGUAUGAUGAAGCUGCUAAACUGUAAAAGGAAAUACAGUAUUAAAAAAAAUAUUGAUGUUUGUGAAGACUUGUACUUUGAUUAAAUUAUUUUUGGUUUAAAAACAUGUCUUGCAGUAUGUCUUGAGGUUGUUGUCAAUAAAGUUAUAUUAUUAUCC
ensembl:lincRNA